rnacentral:rRNA from 1 species
GGAAGGAUCAUUAAUGAAACUUCAAAGUCGGCCAAAGGUUGUUGCUGGUGAUUAUUCACAUGUGCACGCCUUUGGUCGCAAAUCCACACACACCUGUGCAUCUAUGACUCGAGGUUGUAAUGACUGAGAGUAACUUUUAUACACUCUUGUAUGUAAUGGAAUGUCUUUUUGUGCUAUAAUGUACAAUAUAAACAACUUUCAACAACGGAUCUCUUGGCUCUCGCAUCGAUGAAGAACGCAGCGAAAUGCGAUAAGUAAUGUGAAUUGCAGAAUUCAGUGAAUCAUCGAAUCUUUGAACGCACCUUGCACCCUUUGGUAUUCCGAAGGGUACGCCCGUUUGAGUGUCAUUGUAAUCUCACUUCUACAACUUUAUUGUUGUUUGAAUGUGGACUUGGAUGUUGCCGUUUUAUCAUGGCUCGUCUUAAAUGCCUGAGUGUACCCUGUUUUGCAGCGUAUCCAGUGUAAUAAACAUUUCACUAGAGUUGGUCGAAAGACCGCGUUGACUAUAUGGGCUCUAUGCUUCAAACCGUCUGCCAUGUGGACAAUUUCUUGACAAUUUGACCUCAAAUCGGGUGGGACUACCCGCUGAACUUAAGCAUAUCAAUAAGCGGAGGAAAAGAAACUAACAAGGAUUCCCCUAGUAACGGCGAGUGAAGAGGGAAAAGCUCAAAUUUUAAAUCUGGUGUCUUUGACUCCCGAGUUGUAAUCUAGAGAAGUGUUUUCCGUGUCGGACCGUGUACAAGUUCCCUGGAACGGGGCGUCAUAGAGGGUGAGAAUCCCGUAUAUGCCACGGACUACCGAUGCUCUGUGAUACACUCUCAACGAGUCGAGUUGUUUGGGAAUGCAGCUCAAAAUGGGUGGUAAAUUCCAUCUAAAGCUAAAUAUUGGCGAGAGACCGAUAGCGAACAAGUACCGUGAGGGAAAGAUGAAAAGCACUUUGGAAAGAGAGUGAAACAGUACGUGAAAUUGUUGAAAGGGAAGCGUUUGAAGUCAGUCGCAUCUGUUGGGGUUCAGCCUGGCUUUUGCCUGGUGUAUUUCCUUUCCGAUGGGUCAGCAUCAGUUUCGACCGAGGGAAAAAGACAUUUGGAAUGUGGCUGUCUUCGGGCAGUGUUAUAGCCUUGUGUUGUAUGUCUCGGUUGGGACUGAGGAUUGCAGCGCGCCAUAAAUGGCCGGGGGUCGCUCCUCUCGACACGCGCU